rnacentral:rRNA from 1 species
AUUGAACGCUGGCGGCAUGCCUUACACAUGCAAGUCGAACGGUAACGGGCCUUCGGGUGCCGACGAGUGGCGAACGGGUGAGUAAUACAUCGGAACGUGCCCGAUCGUGGGGGAUAACGAGGCGAAAGCUUUGCUAAUACCGCACACGAUCUACGGAUGAAAGCAGGGGACCGCAAGGCCUUGCGCGGACGGAGCGGCCGAUGGCAGAUUAGGUAGUUGGUGGGAUAAAAGCUUACCAAGCCGACGAUCUGUAGCUGGUCUGAGAGGAUGAUCAGCCACACUGGGACUGAGACACGGCCCAGACUCCUACGGGAGGCAGCAGUGGGGAAUUUUGGACAAUGGGCGCAAGCCUGAUCCAGCCAUGCCGCGUGCAGGAUGAAGGCCUUCGGGUUGUAAACUGCUUUUGUACGGAACGAAAAGCCUUCUUUUAAUACAGGAGGGUCAUGACGGUACCGUAAGAAUAAGCACCGGCUAACUACGU